CUAACGAGGAUUUCCCUAGUAACGGCGAGUGAACAGGAAAAAGCCCAGCGCUGAAUCCGGUAGCCUACGGGAUAUACGGAAAUGUGGCGUAUAGGUGUAGCUAUCCGUUGCUUUCCUGCACCCAAAGUCCCCUUGAGCGGGGCUACAGUCCAUAGAAGGUGCUAGACCUGUACGGGUGAGGAAAUGCUAUACGGUAGGUUGCUCCUUGGAGUCGGGUUGUUUGAGAUUGCAGCCCAAAGAGGGUGGUAAACCUCAUCUAAGGCUAAAUAUGGCCACGAGACCGAUAGCAAACAAGUACCGUGAGGGAAAGUUGCAAAGAACUUUGAAGAGAGAGUUCAAGAGGGCGUGAAACCGCUGGGAUGGAAACGGAUAGAGUUAACGAAACUUGCCGGUAUUCAACCGAUCAAUGUGGCAAUCCCGCGGCAUUUGUACCUCCUUCUCUUGUUGUUUCUUUAGGGGAGCAGCAGGUGGGGAGGCAAUUGACGUGGGCACAAAGUGCAACAUUUGAUUAAUUUCUUCACGAUCGGUGUAUUUACCGGUGGUAUGCGUCGAGAGCUUCGUCGAUAUGAUGCGCGUAUCAACGGUACGUUUAGUGGCCCGCGUUUGUCACCUGAUGGUGAUGGAAGCGGAAUCCUGGACGUACAUGGAAGGUAUGUCGUAGAUGAAGUUUGUGAGAACCACCCGUGUAACGGCCGCCUGGGUGCAUCGAUUAUCCGCUGGCCGACGGCACCAGCCGGUGGUCGCGUGCGACGACCGAUUGGUGUUUUUCCGUUGGUUCGGCAGGCUAAUAAAGUAUGCGCAUGCUCGUUACGUCUCGAUGUGAACGUUGAUCACCUAUCUGACCCGUCUUGAAACACGGACCAAGGAGU
rnacentral:rRNA from 1 species